AACGAACGCUGGCGGCAGGCUUAACACAUGCAAGUCGAACGCCCCGCAAGGGGAGUGGCAGACGGGUGAGUAACGCGAGGGAAUCUACCCAUCUCUGCGGAAUAGCUCUGGGAAACUGGAAUUAAUACCGCAUACGCCCCAUUCGGGAAAGAUUUAUCGCUGUUAGAUGAGCCCGCGUCCGAUUAGCUAGUUGGUAGGGUAACGGCCUACCAAGGCUACGAUCGUUAGCUGGUCUGAGAGGAUGAUCAGCCACACUGGGACUGAUACACGGCCCAGACUCCUACGGGAGGCAGCAGUGGGGAAUAUUGGACAAUGGGCGCAAGCCUGAUCCAGCCAUGCCGCGUGAGUGAAGAAGGCCUUAGGGGUGGAAAGCGCGGGCACCGAGGAAGAGAAUGACGGUAGUCGGAGAAGAAGCCCCGGCGAAUGCCGUGCCAGCAGCCGCGGUAAUACGGAGGGGGCUAGCGUUGUUCGGAAUUACUGGGCGUAAAGCGCGCGUAGGCGGCUGAUCAAGUUGGGGGUGAAAGCCCGGGGCUCAACCUCGGAAUUGCCUCCAAAACUGAUCGGCUAGAGUUCGGAAGAGGGUAGUGGAAUUCCCAGUGUAGAGGUGAAAUUCGUAGAUAUUGGGUAGAACACCAGUGGCGAAGGCGGCUACCUGGUCCGAUACUGACGCUGAGGUGCGAAAGCGUGGGGAGCAAACAGGAUUAGAUACCCUGGUAGUCCACGCCGUAAACGAUGAGUGCUAGAUGUCGGGCAGCAUGGCUGUUCGGUGUCGCAGCUAACGCAUUAAGUGAUCCGCCUGGGGAGUACGGUCGCAAGAUUAAAACUCAAAGAAAUUGACGGGGGCCCGCACAAGCGGUGGAGCAUGUGGUUUAAUUCGAAACAACGCGCAGAACCUUACCAGCCCUUGACAUGGGUGUCGCGGAGACCAGAGAUGGUUUCCUUCAGUUCGGCUGGCUCAGUGACAGGUGCUGCAUGGCUGUCGUCAGCUGGUGUCGUGAGAUGUUGGGUUAAGUCCCGCAACGAGCGCAACCCUCACCCUUAGUUGCCAUCAUUUAGUUGGGCACUCUAAGGGAACUGCCGGUGACAAGCCGGAGGAAGGUGGGGAUGACGUCAAGUCCUCAUGGCCCUUACGGGCUGGGCUACACACGUGCUACAAUGGCGGUGACAGUGGGCCGCGACCCUGCGAGGGGAAGCGAAUCUCUAAAAGCCGUCUCAGUUCGGAUUGUUCUCUGCAACUCGAGAGCAUGAAGUUGGAAUCGCUAGUAAUCGUGGAUCAGCAUGCCACGGUGAAUACGUUCCCGGGAAUUGUACACACCGCCCGUCACACCAUGGGAGUUGGUCUUAUCUGAAGGCGUUGAGCUAACCCGCAAGGGAGGCAGGCGACCACGGUGGGUUUAGCGACUGGGGUG
rnacentral:rRNA from 1 species